AGAAGUAGGUACCUAUAAAUUUCAGCGGAAACAUUUUUUUUAUACUGUAGUAGGUAUCGACUUUUAUCUUCAAGAAAAAAAGGGUUUUCAAACUUAAUUUUAUAGCUGCAUGACACAAUUUUUAUAAUGUGUUUGCAAUUUCCACAAAAGUUAUUGAGAAUUUACAAUGCUUGACCUCCUGCAUACAUGUCAACUUCCCGAUCAAUAUAUAUACUAUAAAGAGAGCUCUAUACAAAUGACUGAUCCACUUUUGGUGCCCUAAAGAGGACUGGUUUGCAGGAACAAGAAAAACGAAUAAAAGACUAAUCACCUUUGGCCAAUAGCGCAAUACCAGUCGUAAUUCUAAGUAAAAAUAUAAUAAUAUUAUAAUGUUGUCAAGAAUGAGAUAACCAAAUUUCAGUGUCAGCGUAAAAUUACUUGCAAAACAAAAAUUGUUUCUUUAUAAAAAUCUGCUUAUUCCCUUUUAGUCCAUAAUAUUAACUUUGGACAUAAAUAAAUAAUAAUUGCGGGUAUCAUCCGAUAUCCGUAUCGCAUUAAUUGAAAAGCGUGUUUCAAGUAUACGAAUUUUAAAUAAAAUAUGAUAAAAAUAAUGAUACAACUGCAGUAUAGAUAGCCCUGCCAACUACAAAAACCAGGGAAUCGCGUAGCUCGUAUGAUAUAGGUAUAACUUUAGACCGCACGACGUAUAUUAUAGUUAACUUAAUAUUAUUAUGUCCCAUUAAACGAGAUACCUACAACUGCACACCGACUGUUAUGUUAUACACAUGCGAUCAUUGCGAUCUGCGUAGAGCUACAACACCGACCGAAUACGCUGUCACGGACAAUGGACGAGGAAUAAAAACACACACACGCGCACAUGGGAAUCCAGCACGGAAGUAACCCAUCACCUAACGUCAAUUACCAUCGAGUGAACUCCACCAGUGUUUCUCAUUUUUUUUAUUUUUUCGAUCGUCUAGCGGUGUAUCGCAAACGUCGUAACACAUCGUGCACGGAAAUAAUGUAUGGUUAUCACGCGGAUUCCGCCUAAGCGUCAACGCUGCGACACUCGGCGGAGGUGAAUAAUAUACGAACCCGUACUGUAUUAAAUCGCAAACUGCGUGUACCUACCGUGGUUGAAACCGAUAGGUACGAAUGCAUUCGUCUGGAAACGCAGGCUCUGCACUACACUCGUGCAAACUUACCUACCUAGAAACGAUCCACCGCGGCCGUAUAGAUGGACAUUUCACACUCAACAUCGAAAAUGUUUUAUAUUAAUAAAUCCACUACGAUCGUUACAAAACGGCUAUUCUCCUUAAUCCGCAUAAUAUACAAGCAUGUGAUUAACCCUGAUCGUCAGCCCGCAGUGUCAGCCACCACAGACUGACUGUUUACAAAUACAUUUAUGGCUACAUCCUGUAUGUAUUAUUCCAAUACGUCAUGAUGGUUUUACAAACUCGAAAAUCGUUUAAAUGUUAAUAAUAUAUUAUUGACUAAGACACAAAAUGUUUAAAAAAUAACAUUGCUGUCAUCAACGUGGCUUGUAAUAAUAAUAUAAUAUUCGU
rnacentral:lncRNA from 1 species